AAUUCUCUUUCGUUUGCAGAUGUGAUUACCAUGAAAAUGAGACUUGCUUUCUUUCUCAAUACCAGUUUGAGCUUCCCUGAGCCAAUAGAAAGGAAGUAUUGCUGUUCUUCACUUCUUCAGAUUCAUUCCCAACUGCAUUCCCCAAAAUACUGAAAUGUUUACCCCAUUAAUGGGAUCAGAUUUACCAUCAGAGUUGAGUCUUACAUCUACCUAGAGUUGCCUAAUGGACCAAGAUGUGAGCCCAAGAAACCUACUUUAUCAUCUUAAGAGAGCCAAGAUUCUGACAAUCCCUACAUGAGUUCUUUCAUCACCUGAAAAGAUAUUCAAUGAAACUAUUUACUGCCGGAUUUAAUUCUGCACUCCCGUCGUAUAUUUCUCUACCUGUAAUUCUAAAAACACGCUACUGUCAUUUCA